UACGUAGGGUGCAAGCGUUAAUCGGAAUUACUGGGCGUAAAGCGUGCGCAGGCGGUUUUGUAAGUUUGUCGUGAAAUCCCCGGGCUCAACCUGGGAAUGGCGAUGAAGACUGCAAGGCUAGAGUUUGGCAGAGGGGGGGUAGAAUUCCACGUGUAGCAGUGAAAUGCGUAGAUAUGUGGAGGAACACCGAUGGCGAAGGCAGCCCCCUGGGUCAAAAACUGACGCUCAUGCACGAAAGCGUGGGGAGCAAACAGG
rnacentral:rRNA from 1 species